rnacentral:misc_RNA from 1 species
GCAACCAAAUGGUGCUCGGGCUCCUUCGCCAGUUGCUAAUCCAAUAAUUGGUUCUAUGCCUAAAGUAGGUGGUUUUCCACCUAUAGGCGCCCAUGGAGUAUGUGUUCCUUGAAACAACUACCUCCUUUCUUAGUUUCUCCCUUUCUAAAAAGUAAAUGUAAGCUCGCUGAGUAUAUUAUUUGAAUUUGUUGUUCAAAUUACUCUUGUUUUUUUUGUCUGAAAAGCCAUUCCAGCCAGCACAAGCACCUAUUGCUUCGCUUGGAGGAUGGAUGACCAAUCCUCCCUCUAUGCCACACCAAGCUAUUUCAGGAGGACCAAUAGGCUUAAGCCCUCCUACUAAUGCUGCAUCCAUGCUAAAGCAUCCUAGGACUCCUCCUGCUAGCAAUGCUGCGUUGGACUACCAAACAGCCGAUUCAGAGCAUGUACUGAAGAGGCCAAGACCCUUUGGGAUGUCAGAGGAGGUCAAUAAUCUCCCCGUCAACAUUUUCCCCGUCACAUAUCCUGGACAGAGCCAUGCUCAUAGCUUGCAUUCUUCUGAUGACUUGCCCAAGACUGUUGUGGUGAACUUGAAUCAAGGGUCUGCUGUUAAGAGCAUGGAUUUCCAUCCUGUGCAACAAACUCUUCUUCUUGUUGGAACAAACAUUGGUGACAUUGCUAUAUGGGAGAUUGGUGGCAGGGAAAGGCUUGCAUUUAAAAAUUUUAAAGUUUGGGAGAUAGGUAACUGUUCAAUGACUUUGCAGGCUUCUUUAGCGAAUGAAUACACUGCAACAGUUAACCGUGUGAUGUGGAGUCCUGAUGGGAACCUUCUUGGUGUUGCAUAUUCUAAGCACAUAGUUCAUCUAUACUCAUACCAUGGUGGUGAUGAUUUGAGGAACCACCUAGAGAUUGAUGCCCAUGUUGGCAAUGUUAGUGAUCUUGCUUUCUCUCAUCCAAAUAAACAAUUAUGCAUAAUAACUUGUGGAGAGGACAAGGCUAUCAAGGUGUGGGAUGCUGCCACUGGCUCUAAGCUGUACACUUUUGAGGGCCAUGAAGCACCUGUCUAUUCUGUGUGUCCCCACUAUAAGGAAAGCAUUCAGUUCAUUUUUGCAACUGCUGUUGAUGGGAAGAUCAAGGCUUGGCUGUAUGACAACAUGGGAUCCAGGGUUGAUUAUGAU